rnacentral:rRNA from 1 species
CAAGUCGAGGGGGGUGGGGCAACCCACUCACCGGCGAACGGGUGCGUAACACGUGAGCGACCCGCCCUACCANAGGGGGAUAGCCGGCCCAACGGCCGGGUAAGACCGCAUACGCUCCUUGGGCUACAUGGCCUGGGGAGGAAAGCUCGAAAGGGCGCUGGAGGAGGGGCUCGCGGCCUAUCAGCUAGUUGGCGAGGUAACGGCUCACCAAGGCGACGACGGGUAGCUGGUCUGAGAGGAUGGCCAGCCACAUUGGGACUGAGAGACGGCCCAGACUCCUACGGGAGGCAGCAGUGGGGAAUAUUGCGCAAUGGCCGAGAGGCUGACGCAGCGACGCCGCGUGUGGGAUGAAGCUCUUCGGGGUGUAAACCACUGUUGCCCGGGACGAAACUCCUGCUUUGGCGGGAUUGACGGUACCGGGUGAGGAAGCACCGGCUAACUCCGUGCCAGCAGCCGCGGUAAUACGGAGGGUGCGAGCGUUGUCCGGAAUCACUGGGCGUAAAGGGCGCGUAGGUGGCUCGUGAAGCGUGCGGUGAAAGUCCGAGGCUCAACCUCGGAUCGGCCGUGCGGACUCGCGGGCUCGAGCGUUGUAGAGGCGGGUGGAAUUCCGGGUGUAGCGGUGGAAUGCGUAGAGAUCCGGAAGAACACCGGUGGCGAAGGCGGCCCGCUGGGCAACUGCUGACACUGAUGCGCGACAGCGUGGGGAGCAAACAGGAUUAGAUACCCUGGUAGUCCACGCCGUA